rnacentral:rRNA from 1 species
AUUGAACGCUGGCGGCAUGCCUAACACAUGCAAGUCGAACGGCAGCACGACCUAGCUUGCUAGGUUGGUGGCGAGUGGCGCACGGGUGAGUAAUGCGUAGGAAUAUACCUUAAAGUGGGGGACAACCUGGGGAAACUCAGGCUAAUACCGCAUGAGCUCUAAGGAGGAAAGCUGGGGACCUUUCGGGGCCUGGCGCUUUAAGAAUAGCUUACGUCCGAUUAGUUAGUUGGUGGGGUAAAGGCUUACCAAGACGAUGAUCGGUAGCUGGUCUGAGAGGAUGAGCAGCCACACUGGGACGGAGACACGGCCCAGACUUCUACGGGAGGCAGCAGUGGGGAAUAUUGGACAAUGGGGGAAACCCUGAUCCAGCGAUGCCGCGUGUGUGAAGAAGGCCUGCGGGUUGUAAAGCACUUUCGGUGGGGAGGAGGACUUAUAGGUUAAGAGCUAAUGAGUUGGACGUUACCCACAUAAGAAGCACCGGCUAACUCCGUGCCAGCCGCCGCAGUAA